AGCAGCCGCGGUAAUUCCAGCUCCAAUAGCGUAUAUUAAAGUUGUUGCAGUUAAAAAGCUCGUAGUUGAAUUUCGGGAUUUGUCAGUUGGUCGGGCUUCACUGUCCGUAUUGACUUGAUGGAUUCUUACCUUCUGAAUAACCAGCAUGCUAUUAAGUUAGUGCGUUGGGGAAGCAGAUCUAUUACCUUGAAAAAAAUUAGAGUGCUUAAAGCGAGCUAGUGCUUGAAUAGAUUAGCAUGGAAUAAUAAAAUAGGACGGCAUGGUUCUAUUUUGUUGGUUUCUAGGAUCACCGUAAUGAUUAAUAGGGAUAGUUGGGGGCAUUAGUAUUCAAUUGUCAGAGGUGAAAUUCUUGGAUUUAUUGAAGACUAACUUCUGCGAAAGCAUUUGCCAAGGAUGUUUUCAUUAAUCAAGAACGAAAGUUAGGGGAUCGAAGACGAUCAGAUACCGUCGUAGUCUUAACCAUAAACUAUGCCGACUAGGAAUCGGACGAUGUUAAUUUUAUAAUGACUCGUUCGGCACC
rnacentral:rRNA from 1 species